ACCAUCACGCGCUUCUUUCUCUAUCUCCAGUUUUGGGAAGUCAUCAGCGACGAGCACGGCAUCGACCCCACUGGCAGUUACCAUGGCGACAGUGACUUGCAGCUGGAGAGAAUCAACGUGUACUACAACGAGGCUGCUGGUAACAAGUAUGUGCCUCGGGCCAUCCUCGUGGACCUGGAGCCGGGCACCAUGGACUCCGUCAGGUCUGGACCCUUUGGCCAGAUCUUCAGGCCUGACAACUUCGUGUUUGGCCAGAGCGGCGCCGGGAACAACUGGGCCAAGGGCCACUACACAGAAGGCGCCGAGCUGGUGGACUCCGUCCUGGACGUGGUCAGGAAGGAGUCCGAGAGCUGUGACUGUCUGCAGGGCUUCCAGCUGACCCACUCGCUGGGGGGCGGCACCGGGUCUGGGAUGGGGACCCUCCUCAUUAGUAAGAUCCGCGAGGAGUACCCCGACCGCAUCAUGAACACCUUCAGUGUCAUGCCCUCGCCCAAGGUGUCGGACACGGUGGUCGAGCCCUACAACGCCACCCUGUCCGUGCACCAGCUGGUAGAGAACACGGAUGAGACCUACUCGAUCGACAACGAGGCGCUGUAUGACAUCUGCUUCCGCACCCUGAAACUGACCACCCCCACCUACGGGGACCUCAACCACCUGGUGUCGGCCACCAUGAGCGGGGUCACCACCUGCCUGCGCUUCCCGGGCCAGCUCAACGCCGACCUGCGCAAGCUGGCCGUGAACAUGGUCCCUGCAGUUCACGGCCAUGUUCCGGCGCAAGGCCUUCCUGCACUGGUACACGGGCGAGGGCAUGGACGAGAUGGAGUUCACCGAGGCCGAGAGCAACAUGAACGACCUGGUGUCCGAGUACCAGCAAUACCAGGACGCCACGGCCGACGAGCAGGGCGAGUUCGAGGAGGAGGAGGGCGAGGACGAGGCCUGAGCCGGGCGGAGGCGCCGCGGGGGCCGAGGGGCGGGGGGCUCACAGGAGGAGGAGGCCGAGGACGAGGCCUGAGAACGUGUCAGAUGGACCGUGUGUCCUUAGCGACUUCUGUUGUCCUCGAUCAGGCAUGGUCUCUCUAUUCGUAGGCUAUGGUGCUCAGUUUUGCCUCUGUCAGAAAUUCACUGUUGAUGUAAUAAUGUGGAACUCCUCUGGAAGUUGCAGUAUUGUCUAAGAUAUCUAUACUAAUAAAAAAGCAUGUGUCCAAAA